UACAGAGGUCUCAAGCGUUGUUCGGAUUCAUUGGGCGUAAAGGGUGUGUAGGUGGCGCCGUAAGUCGGGUGUGAAAUUUCGGAGCUUAACUCCGAAACUGCAUUCGAUACUGCUGUUCUUGAGGAUUGCAGAGGAGACUGGAAUUCCCGGUGUAGCGGUGAAAUGUGUAGAGAUCGGGAGGAACACCGGUGGCGAAGGCGGGUCUCUGGGCAAUUCCUGACGCUGAGGCGCGAAAGCGUGGGGAGCAAACGGG
rnacentral:rRNA from 1 species